UGGUGUCAGAAUGGAGCUGACCCCGGGCCUGUACAUGUCAUGGGGCUGCAUUCCUCACCCCAUCCAUCACCAGUGCUCUGUGAAUUGCCCUCCAGCACUGCACCAGCCUUCUCAUGAAGGACCCCUCAAAUUCUAGUCUUUAGUAAGGCUGUGACCCAGGAGGAAGAUUAGUUUAUAAUUUAAAGCUUCCCAGGUUAAGGCUUAGUUUAUCUCUGUCUGGGUAUGUGUCACAGGAAAGCUCUGGGAUAGAGCACUCAUCAGGGAGUCCUGUGGAGACAGGAUUGCCCAUUUAUUUUGGGCUAGGGCUGACUUUCCUCCUUUUUCUUUUCUUAGCAGCUAGGAAGGGACUGGUUCAAUUGGUCUCUGCCUUUCAGAAAAGCAUUUAUCAGAAGAACACCUGCACCUGCCCAAUGUCAUCUUUCUUUUAAAAGAUGUCUGGAGUUUUCUGUUCCCUUGUACAGGGCUGCAUCACAGGAUGACUGUCAGCAGGGAAGACACCCACAGCGUGCAGAAAGCUUGGGCAAGGGAGGAGAGAUUGAGAGGACUGGCAAAUCUGGCAGCGCUCACAAACUGCAAAUGCAUUUCCCUCAUCUCCAAUACUUUAAAGCUGAGGUCUGCACUCAAGUUGUUCUGUUCAAGAUGUGAUGUUACAACUUCCAGCAAAGCAACUUCAUUUCUCAAAGAGAUGAGAACACAGAGGAAGGACCAUCACAGUGGCAAGGGUCUUUUCAUCCUGGUCUAAAACAAAGAAUAAGUGAAUUGAGCACAAAUAGCACGUGUUUCUGAGGCACAGGAGUUGCUUUAAGAGUGUCAUACGGAGCUGCACAGCAGGAACUGUUUUGAAGCUGACUUGAAGCUGGCAAGGCUUCUCCCAGAAGAAUGCUGAUGAAAAGCACAGCAUCCCAAUGCUCACUUCCAGAGUAUGAUUGAAUUGCAGUUGAAAAUGGGAUCAAGGAAGCAGGCUGGCUUUCAUCAAGUACGAAGGAGUCACCAGAGUCUCCAGGUAGCUGGGUCAGGAUAGAUAACACUGUUGGUUAGGAGAAGUCAAUUACUUCCAGGUGAGACGGAAGUGGCUGCAAAGAGUAGGCUGGUUUACCCAAGUUCCCUUCUCUGGCUGUAAGGCACUGUGACUACGUGAUGGAGCUUUUCAAGUGUGGACUACAUUUGCAGGCUCCCAUGCACCCAAACUUUGUGUAGCCCUGUAGCUCAGUAUUUACUCUACUCAUGGUAACACACGUUGCUGUUGUUUAUAACAGCCCAGAGAGUCUGCAGGAGCUCUGUAAGGCCUCAGGACUUACGGCUUUGUCUGGGCUUGUCUUGGCCUGUUUGGGACUUUACUUAAGCUUGUUUAGCUGGGACAGCAAUUUCCAGCUGUAACCAGGUGACUAUUACACAAUUUGUUCUGCUUUUGCUUAACUUAGUGUGAUUUAACCAUAAUUUUAAUUUAGCUGAGACUAACAAGUGGUUAUUUUAUGUGGAAUGAAGAAUGCACUGCCUUAGCAAAAUGAUGUGGCAUAGAGGACUAUAAACAUGGUAUCAUGGCACAGGUCUCUAAAGGAAAGCUACUGCAUGCACUGAGAUGUCAGUAGAGGGCAUGGGAUGAUACUUGAGCCCCCAGAGCUAUAAACAACACAUAAAUGAUCAAUGACUAAUGGUUAAAUAAAGGCAGAUCUGACAACUGGGUGAAACUGCUUUUAGGAGUAACAAAGAGAAAGGAUCCAGAGUGUAUAAAAUCUUAUACAUGGUGAAAGGCCAGCCACCUUAGGAUCAAGGUGGACAGUGGCAAGGUGAGUGUAAAGUGGAGAAGGCAUAUAGGUACUGUGAGAUUCGUGUUCCAGUUCCACCUUUAUCAUUAUUGAGACUUAAUAGCAUUCUCCUUUUUUUUUUCCUAAAAUAAUUAGAUCAAGAUUAAUACUGUGUGAUUUCAAGUUAAAGAAAUUGAGUGAUUGCAGGUUAGAUUCAGUGAGAGUAACAGUUGGCUUUGCUCGGAUGUUGUGUCUAUUUGGCCAUACCAGGACUUUUGAACAAAGUAUAUCCAAAUGCCUUCCUAAAAGAUGGUCAUCACACAUUGAGGAUUCUAAGCAAAGAGCUGUGGGGGUGAAAUAGCUCAGAAAUUCCCUAAAGUCAAUCCUACGUGGUUUCCUUAGCCAUUCAUUUACAGGAAAAUGAAUUGCUUAUUUGAUCUGUAGGAAGUGAAACAACGUGAAAAAAUUCUGAAAAAGCAUUGCUAUGAUUUAGCUGUUUCCAUCAAAUAUAAAUCUUUUGCUCAGGAUGAUUGCUAUCAGUACAUCAAUAAGAUUUGGGGAAAGUUGUUUACACCUUAUGUUUUUGAAGGAAAAGAAGGUG